CAGAAAAGAAGAGGGGCCGAAUCACUCCAUGGUGGUGAUGGGAUGAUCUCGGUGGUCAUCGGUGGACGGGCCUACUGCUGCAAGGGGAGGUUCUUUGUCUUUGAUCAGGGGCAAGGUGAGCGGUGGUGUGGGUGGAGGAUGGGGGAGACGUGUGUUAAAAAGUCGCUUCCUGCACGAAAGAUAAAAUUUUGGGUUCAAUGUAGAAAUCAUCCAUCUACAAAUCUAUCACAAAAUGAAUGAAGGAGAACCAAUUUCAAUACAUGAACCACAUAUUUGAUAUGCAUAUCUAAAUGUGGUCAUAGUUUUCAGCUUUUAACAUUUCUCAUCCAUAAAAACCGCAAAAACUGCAUCAUUGAAAAAUAGUUUUGAGGCUCAUGUCAUGGAACUAAAUUGGUAUUGCCAUCACAACUUUCGCCACUAACCACAUCCUAACAACCACGAAACAAAAA